rnacentral:rRNA from 1 species
UUUUGGACAAUGGGGGCAACCCUGAUCCAGCAAUGCCGCGUGAGUGAAGAAGGCCUUCGGGUUGUAAAGCUCUUUUGUCCGGGAAGAAACACCGGCUCUAACACAGUCCGGGAAUGACGGUACCUGAAGAAUAAGCACCGGCUAACUACGUGCCAGCAGCCGCGGUAAUACGUAGGGUGCAAGCGUUAAUCGGAAUUACUGGGCGUAAAGCGUGCGCAGGCGGUUAUACAAGACAGGCGUGAAAUCCCCGGGCUUAACCUGGGAAUGGCGCCUGUGACUGUAUAGCUAGAGUGUGUCAGAGGGGGGUAGAAUUCCACGUGUAGCAGUGAAAUGCGUAGAUAUGUGGAGGAAUACCAAUGGCGAAGGCAGCCCCCUGGGAUAACACUGACGCUCAUGCACGAG